AUUGAACGCUGGCGGCAUGCCUUACACAUGCAAGUCGAACGGCAGCACGGGUGCUUGCCCCUGGUGGCGAGUGGCGAACGGGUGAGUAAUACAUCGGCACAUGUCCUGUAGUGGGGGAUAGCCCGGCGAAAGCCGGAUUAAUACCGCAAACGAUCUACGGAUGAAAGCGGGGGACCUUCGGGCCUCGCGCUAUCGGGUUGGCCGAUGGCUGAUUAGCUAGUUGGUGGGGGAAAGGCCUACCAAGGCGACGAUCAGUAGCUGGUCUGAGAGGACGACCAGCCACACUGGGACUGAGACACGGCCCAGACUCCUACGGGAGGCAGCAGUGGGGAAUUUUGGACAAUGGGCGAAAGCCUGAUCCAGCAAUGCCGCGUGUGUGAAGAAGGCCUUCGGGUUGUAAAGCACUUUUGUCCGGAAAGAAAUCCUUGGCCCUAAUACGGUCGGGGGAUGACGGUACCGGAAGAAUAAGCACCGGCUAACUACGUG
rnacentral:rRNA from 1 species